GUAAAGUUUUAUAGUUUCCUGGUUGGAGCUGUGAGGCCCCAGCGCUGUGGGGGCGGGGGGAGCCGGCAGCGCCCGGCCAGCGAGGAUCGCUCCAGCGUGCCGGGGAUCCGUCGCCCAGCGUGGGAUGUCCCGCCUCGGGAGCAGGGCAGAGCUGGCAGCAUCGCGAGCCUGCUGGGUGUGGAUGGGAGAGAGGCGGCACUCCUCCAUUGCUCCUGCUGCCUGGUGACCGGUUUCACCCCGGAGUGGGAUGCCACGUGGUGUCGGCCGCCCUCCUCUUGCUGCUCUGUGGGACCUUGCCAAAUACAGCAGUGCACGAGGGAAGAAGUCCGGUGCCCGAGAGGUCGGCGGGGGGAAGGACCGGUCCGGCUGCUCGCUGGCUCCUGCUGCGGGUGGGCAAAGAGAAAAGCGCCUGCUUGAUGUGCAGCCACAGGGCAGACCCUCUCGCUACAGAGGGCCAAACCCACCCUGCAGCAGAUUGCUCCAGCUGCCGGCAACCAGAUACGCGCAAAGAACCUACAAAUUCAUUGCGUGCAAUGUGAGCCUGGGUCUCAAGGCACUCCCAGGCUCCUUUGGCCAGACAAGAGGAGCAAACCCACAUGAACACAUUAUUAAAGCAAGGGAGCACUGAGCCAGCAGCCGCUGCCCACUGCCCUCCCAGCCCAGGGCCCGCUCCGCGAGCGCUCCUGUGCCCUACCUCCAUCCGGCGCGAGAGGCAGGGCGGCCUCCCCUCCUGCAGCCCAGCUCCAGGCUGGAAAAGCAGCAGACAGGCAGGCAGCUUUGCAGGAUCCCUGCAGGGCAGCACCGCGGGCACCGGGAAUGCAGAGAAACGCAAGCAGCUGACUGAUGCCCAGUGUGCCAAAAUGACUCCAGUUUCCUCAUCUCCAUCCCGCCCUGGUGGAGGCUGAGCUGCUAAGGAGGAGCAGGAACAGCAGUGGGAUCCAAGCGCUGUGAGCCAGGAUCAUGUUCCUGCCUGCAAUACGCCUCAGGAGGAGCACAGAUGCAGCUGGUUUUCACAGCACUGGUGCAAAGCUCACGCUCCAGGGAAGGCGGCCAGCUCCCUGCGUUUCCCAGUGCCCAGCGAGGGCACCACAGCAAGGCAGCAACAGCCACCACCAUCCUCAUCCCCAGGGUGAUGCUGGACAAUUCACCUCUCUACAGGGCCAGCUCCAGCUCCUGGCUGCAGCACAGGGAGCACCAGCCUACACCCCACAGCAGCACCGAUUUUAAAGGCUGGGGGAUCUCUGGGAGCCGGCAGGCUGCAGCGAGACAGCCCUCUGGCUUGCAGGAGUGCUAAUUAGCGCUAAUUAGCACUCAGCAGGCCUGUCUGGCUGCUGGGAGGGCUGGGGCUGCAGGUGAGGGCUUUGCCCCGCAGCUGGAGGGAGGCUCUCGGGGUUUUGCGGACCCAUGCACAAAGCAGCCGCUCAGCUGGGUGGCCGGGACGAACCAGCCUGCCGCGUGCGAGCGGCUGGGCUGCACGGGAGCAGCAGGGGAGGCAGCACAGGGCUCUGGUGCUGCCGAGAGGAUGAGGAGGGUGAGCUUGUCCAGGGUGAACGGCAGCAAAACGCUGGGGUGCAGUGAUGCUGCUUCUCAUCCCUCCUCGGGGACGUGGGCUUUGCUCCCCCCGGCAGCAGCAAUGCCUGGCCGGGAGUGUGCCCCUUGCCUGGGGUGGGACACGGGAGAAGCCCUUUGCAUCACCCUCUCCUCGGAGGACUGUCACUAUGCAAGUCCUCCCUGGUGAGUGACAGUUACAGGCACUGCUCCAGGCCCCAGCGCCCGGUGAGGAUGCUGAACUGGGACCCUGCCCUCAGCCUCUGAAGGACACCCCAUUUCUGCUGUCCCCUCCAAGGGACAGCACCCCUAUAUCCUCCGAACAUGCCUCUGUCAAAUCCCCCCUCCAAAAUCUGCUGUUCCUCUAAUUCUCAGAUGCGGGUCUCCACCCCUUGCCCCGUGCAUGGCUGGGUGCUCGGGGACGCCGGCAGGACGCAUGGCCGGCUCCGCGAGGAGCCAGUCCCACACUUGGGAACAGCCACUGUGGGAGCGGGAAAGGUCUGAGCUCUCCCAGACACCUGAGCUCUAAUUCUUUUUGACGUUAUAUAUGUGUGUGUGUGUGCAUACAUACAUUCAUAUACAUAUA